AAACUCAAAGGAAUUGACGGGGGCCCGCACAAGCGGUGGAGCAUGUGGUUUAAUUCGAUGCAACGCGAAGAACCUUACCAGAACUUGACAUGUCGCAAAUUUGUUUGAAAAAACAAAGUGCCUUCGGGAAUGUGAGCACAGGUGGUGCAUGGCUGUCGUCAGCUCGUGUCGUGAGAUGUUGGGUUAAGUCCCGCAACGAGCGCAACCCUUGUUUUUAGUUGCUAUCAUUUAGUUGAGCACUCUAAAAAAACUGCCGGUGAUAAACCGGAGGAAGGUAAGGAUGACGUCAAGUCAGCAUGCCCCUUAUGUUCUGGGCUACACACGUGCUACAAUGAUUAUGACAAAGGGCUGCUACUCUGUGAAGACAAGCUAAUCUCAUAAACAUAGUCCAAGUUCGGAUUGUAGGCUGAAACUCGCCUACAUGAAGAUGGAAUCGCUAGUAAUCGCCGGUCAUCUACACGGCGGUGAAUCCGUUCCCGGGCCUUGUACACACCGCCCGUCACACCAUGGGAGCUGGCCAUACCCAAAGUCGUUUACUCUAACCUAAUUUUGGAGGAGGGCGCCUAAGGUAGGACUGGUGACUAGGGUGAAGUCGUAACAAGGUAGCCGUACUGGAAGGUGCGGCUG
rnacentral:rRNA from 1 species